GCUCUCACGCACAAAAGGCAUGAGGACAAGCAGCCGUUCUGGAGCAGCCGCCCGGAGAGCGCCAGAGCUCCACGGCCACCGGCAGCACUCAUCAAUCCCACCUCCCUCUUAUCGUAACAAUUGAAACCAACGCUCGUCGCGGCUGGGGAUACCCGCCAGAGAGGAGGACUUCGCAGGGAGGAAGACCAACGCCGUGACUUCGCUCCCCCAGGUCCCCCGACGCCGCCUCUCCCCAGCGCCCUCCGCUUUUCGGCCACGUACCCCCGCUCGGCGGAGCCCCGACGGCGAACCGGGACCGCGGGCCCCUCCCGCCGGCCUGCCCGGGUCCCCGCGGCUUGGGCAAGCCCCGGGGGCUACAUCUCCGUGCGGCUCUAGCAAAGGGAGCGACAGGGAGCCGCCGGGCACGGUCCCUCUGCCGCGGACCCUGGUGCCAGGCCAGCAGUCCCGUCGGAGCUGCCGAAAACGGAGCGCCUGGCCGCAGCCCCUCCGGCCCCCAACCAAGGGGGCUGUUCGCGGGCAGGCUCUCAGUGGCGAUGCUCAGCGGGAAGAGUUACGUGAGAAGAGAUGGCUGCAGAUCAGCCGCGUUCCCCGCCGCACAACUGGCGCUUCUCUCGGUGUGAGGACACGCGUCCCUCGGAGCCUCCGCCGGGAAAGGAGGGGGCAAAGCCUCCGUAACCGGGGGAGGCUGCAGUCGCCUCCGGUUCGACUCGCAUCGGGCUCAGAGAGGCUGCGGCUUCGCGGAAGGGCCUGGCCUAAUGAGAGCUGCGCCAGGCCGGCGGCGCGGAGCUCCCCCCCUGCCCGAGCGACUUGGCGGCGGUGCUGCCCCGCGGGGGGGUCCCCGGCCUCGUCGUUCUGUACCGAAGCCGGCGGCGGCGAGCUCAGGCGGGGGGGGAUCAGCUGGGGCUCGGAGCGGCUUCGCACGGAGCCUGCCAGCGUGGGGGCUGCGCGGCCGCGCGUGGGGCGGCUGGAGGGCGAAGAUUAAAACAAACAAAAAAAAAGCCUGAACGGAGGAACUUGCUGCCGCCCGGCAUCAGCUCAUCCGGCCGUAGAUAACGUGGCGUUCGCCCAGGUCCCUCGGCCACGGCAGUAUCUCACGGACCUGGAGCGUCCGGUACACGGGGGAGCCCCCGCUGCGGGGCCACCCGACCCUCUUGUUCCCGAGCUCCUCCCCGGGAGGGUGGGGGGCGCUCCCCGGCGCCGACCCGCGCCCCGGCGGCCGGGAAGGGCGGCAGCCUGCCCCCGAGGGCUCCCCCCGCGCCCGAGGGAAGCGCAUGACCGGGGCGAACUUUUCACCUGUAUCCGAUGUGAAAAGUAAGGUGGGUAUAGGAGAGAUCCAGCAAGCAGCAGAGCGUGAAAUAGCGUCCGCGCUGCUUCUGCUGUAGCAGCCGUGAGCGCAGCCUUUUCCAGCAGCAGCACCACCUCCCGCAGCUGCUCCAUGCACAGGUAUUUUCAUCGAUGCGCUUUAAGGGGCCGAGUUUUUAAAAGCCGAGUGAGACCAGGCGACGAGGUCGCCGGGCAUGAUUCCACUUGGCACAGGGUGGGCGUGUGCCCCCCCUCGGUCUCGCCGCCCCGCGACGGGCGGUGCACGUCGGUGUCGGCUGCGGGAGAUCCCCGGCCGGGGGCUUCAGCACCGCCUACGUGACUUGGAAGCAUAAAUCCCACUGACUCCGGAGACAAGCCGAGUUUCUCGCUUAGAUGGCUGCUUUGGAAACGCUGCUCUCCUGCGCGGGUCGCUGGGCUGGGAGUCAUCGGCUGGCCGGGGCCGAACAGCUGAAGACGCACCCGAGCGGUUUUACUACGUCGAGUAUUUCCACUGAUGCCGAGCAGAUGUUAGCAGGAUCGGUCCCAGCAGCAAUAAUAAUUGCCGAGGUGGGAGUGAAAGGUGUAGCAUGCAGCUCCAGACACAGGGGGAAAUCUCCCCGUACUUUGCCCGCUGUGACAGUUCAUUAAACCGCUUUAAAAUAUGUUAUCUCUCUUUUUUUUUAAAGUGGAUCUGUGCAGAGGCGAAGAGCGCAGGAGUGUGGCAGCGGCAGGGCUCUUUGCAGGCGGUGGCUUUCAACCAGAAAGGAAAAGAGCUAAUCCUUAAAUCGGUCAGUUGUUUGAGAAGAAAUGACAUACACCUUGGAUACGUAAUUACUGAAAUGUCAAACGCACAAUAUAGCGCACAGGUGGAAGAACUGACUUAUUGUUCAAGAGCUGCCUUUCCUCUCAGCUCAACCCUUGUUUAAAGUUUUCAUUCAAAAUUAAUCGAUUUCUGUGUGAUAGACACAGAAAGAACAAUUCCGAGGCGCCUGGUUUACUAUAGCUUUGUGACUGCACAAUAUUUAGGGUCCGGAUUGAUGUCUUGUGAAAGGUAAGGACGAGGACAUAUCAUCUGUAAUAAUCAAACGUCAACUUGUUCAGCACGUCUAAUUAGGAUUCUUGGCAACCUUAAUACUUCACUCUGUAUGUUUACCAAUGGCAACCUUCCCUCUCCGUCUUUGUGAAGGUGUUAAAUUCAAGUGGGAGGGCUCAUACGAGCAGUGGUCGCGAUCGAAUCUGAUUAUUCCGAGUCACCGUCACUAUUCAGGGUAUAUUUUUCGUGUAAAACAGAAAAGAGCCAGAAAAGGAUAAACGAGCACCAAAACCAAGCCAAAAAUACAGCAGCCGUGCUUGUUUUGAGCUCCCUUCACAAAGGCUUUACUACGCUCUCUUUUGGCUUUCUCACAUCCAAAAUGGUGGGAUAUUUCACGUUCAGUGUAUCUGAUCUCAUUGAGAGAAGCUGCGCUGUCCCUCUGUAACCCCGGUAGUCUAGCAACACGCAACAAGCCUAACGGUGCGUUACUUUAUCAGUUCUGCUUGCCGGGCUAAAUUAAAAUGAUGAUGAGAAAGCCCAUCGCUCCAGCCACUGAAGGGACUGGUAGGGAAACGGUCCAUUAAACCCAGAUCAGGAGCUAUUUAUAGAACUAAGCGACUACUCGUUAAUGUCGCCGGCGCCUACCAAUGAAAUCUCUAACAGACACAGGGCUAAACAUACGCAACCCUGAUUCUUUUCCAGUCCAAACUUCCAGGUAACCAAACGUUUAGCAAAUGAGUUCCGAAACGGGUAAGUAGGGCAAGAGGUUUAGGUAUCUCUUUGCUUUGAAAACAGGCCCGUUUCUCCCAUGAAAUAAUUCCCCAUCCCCCCCCAAAGGAGGUAGCUGGGGAAAAUGGGAACUAAUUUCUAUUCAUAAGAGGCACGGGCUAAGCUGAACGAUUCUCCUCAUCAGAAAAUGAAGAUUUGGCUGUUUGUCUUUGAAAGCGAAGGCGCGACUGAGAAAUCUGGCGAAGGAAGACAGCUUGUUAUCU
rnacentral:lncRNA from 1 species